rnacentral:rRNA from 1 species
AUUGAACGCUGGCGGCAGGCCUAACACAUGCAAGUCGAGCGGAUGAAGGGAGCUUGCUCCUGGAUUCAGCGGAGGACGGGUGAGUAAUGCCUAGGAAUCUGCCUGGUAGUGGGGGAUAACGUCCGGAAACGGGCGCUAACACCGCAUACGUCCUGAGGGAGAAAGUGGGGGAUCUUCGGACCUCACGCUAUCAGAUGAGCCUAGGUCGGAUUAGCUAGUUGGUGGGGUAAAGGCCUACCAAGGCGACGAUCCGUAACUGGUCUGAGAGGAUGAUCAGUCACACUGGAGCUGAGACACGGUCCAGACUCCUACGGGAGGCAGCAGUGGGGAAUAUUGGACAAUGGGCGAAAGCCUGAUCCAGCCAGGCCGCGUGUGUGAAGAAGGUCUUCGGAUUGUAAAGCACUUUAAGUUGGGAGGAAGGGCAGUAAGUUAAUACCUUGCUGUUUUGACGUUACCAACAGAAUAAGCACCGGCUAACUUCGUG